rnacentral:lncRNA from 1 species
CCUGUUAGAAAGAAGAGCAAUGGAAAAGCAAAUUGAUGGAUCAAGAAGGUUAUUCAUGCAGAAAGAGCUAUUUGUUUGUAAAAUGAAUGAUUUAAAGAACAUAUUUCUUAAUUAUUUUCUUGUCCGUAGAAUUCAGUCGACGACAAAAGCAAUUUUCAUAGAUCAAUAAUUUCAAACGAUAUAAGUGAAAAUGAAAUUCUAGGCAUGCGAGAGUGGAGAAAAAUAGUGUAUGUUUAAUUUAACUUGAUGAUAGAAGAUAAAAGGGAGAAGCGUAAAGGACCUGGAAUUUGGUUCAGCAAUCCAUGUCCAGUAACGCUGGUCAAUGGCCAGCUCCCUUGCUCCGAUCAUAAAGCAUUUCUUUCCACUCUUCUUAUCCAAUGAGGAGAUCAACACGACAGCAUGAUGUCAUAGAUAAUUAGAGAUUUAAUACUAGUAAUUCGAUGUUAAUCGAGGGGGAGGGGGGAGUAUUGCGAAAAAGAAAGUUUGUCUUCAUAGACGUCCUCUAUACUUCAGGACGCACAAACAAGCCGGGACACUUCACAGCCUCACAAGACAGCUAGAGCGGAAUGCAUCCAUAGCAUCGGCUGCAGCAGAAAAGAAAUUUUGCAGGCGUCCAUUGUACUUUGGUCGGUGAAAUUCAGUGACAAAAUCCUAAUAAUGUUUAGUAUAAUCUUGUACAAACCUCGGUUCAAUCUGAGGGUCCUCAAGAUUUGUCAAGAGGCCUUGCUUUCAUACUAGACAGUAUUAUUCAAUCAAAAAAAAAAAGAAAACUACAGGAUUAUUCUACAAUCAGGCUGUUAUCAGUUUAUGCAUUUUGGUCAGUGAAAUUCAGUGAAGAAAUCCUAAUAAUGUUCAGUAUAAUCUUUUGCGAACCUCAGUUUGCUCUGGGGCUCACCAACAUUUUCGACCCACCAAAAAGAAAAACUAAACUUAAACUAAGGCAUAUUUCUACCAUCCAGCUCUUGUCAAUUUAUCUCAAGCACCGAUAAUGUCUACAAAAAUUUACAAUACUUUCGGACCCAAAAAAAAAAAAAAACGAGCAUGCCUGAUCUAAGUUCAUAGCCUCACUCAUCGUUUCCCAUGGUCAAUUACUUCAAUGACCACUUCAUAAUUCAAUCUUCUUAAAAGCCUCCCAAGAAGAGUAAAAUGGCUUUACCUUAGAUAAUCCUGCUCUAUCUAUGCAGAUUCACCACACCCACUCAACUAUGCCAAAAAAAAGUUGCAUUGAAGAUCAAAGCAUCACACUGUAAUCGAGCGCUAACCAUGUUCCGGUCGCAGAGGUGGAAGUAGAGUGACUUCUUGCGCGAUAUCUGAGGGAGGACGACACCAUCGCGGUGGUCGGGCGGCAAGAAUUGGCGCCACACCUCAUCUGAAUCUGCGAUCGAUCUGAAGAAGGUGGAGACAGACGCUACCCGGCAAGCGUCUCGUGGAGUUGUGGCUGUGAGAAAGAUGAUCCGGGAGAUCACGUCGUUGCCCAGAAGCGAGAAGUCCCACAUCCCUUUUCCUCUCCGUUCUCUCGUUUCUUGCCUUGGAUUUCGCUGGCUUUGUAAGGAAGAUCAAAAGAUAAAGCUGUUGAUUGGGUCACGCCAAAGUCAAUG